rnacentral:tRNA from 1 species
UCGAUAGCUUAGUUGGUAAAGCGCUCGUCUAGCAUACAAGAUUCCUAGGUUCAAAUUCAGGGCCCAGAUAGCCGUAGCGGUAAACGCGCAGCUAUUCAGCAAGACCAAGCUGAGGGUCGUGGGUUCGAAUCCCACCGGUCGAG